rnacentral:rRNA from 1 species
AGGGGCGUAGUGACUGCGGAGGACAUUAUCGAGUUUUGAAACGGGUUGUAGCUGGCCUUUCUAAUCGAAAGGCAUGUGCACGCCUGACUCAUUCCACUCUCAAACCCCUGUGCACUUAUUGUAGGCUCGGUGGAAGAGGCUGACUUUCGUUAGUCGGUUUCGAAAAAGCCUUGCCUAUGUCAUCACAUACGCUUCAGUUCAGAAUGUAACUCUUGCGGAUAACGCAAAUAAAUACAACUUUCAGCAACGGAUCUCUUGGCUCUCGCAUCGAUGAAGAACGCAGCGAAAUGCGAUAAGUAAUGUGAAUUGCAGAAUUCAGUGAAUCAUCGAAUCUUUGAACGCACCUUGCGCUCCUUGGUAUUCCGAGGAGCAUGCCUGUUUGAGUGUCGUGAAAUUCUCAACUUUCAAAACUUUUUUUAAAAGUUUCGAAAGCUUGGACUUGGAGGUCGUGUCGGUGCUAGCGCGUCGACUCCUCUCAAAUGCAUUAGCGUGAAUCUUACGGAUCGCCUUCGGUGUGAUAAUUACUGCGCCGUGGUCGUGAAGUAUAACGGUGUUCGCGCUUACAAUCGUCCUGAAGUCGGGACAAUUCAUUAUGACAAUCUGGCCUCAAAUCAGGUAGGACUACCCGCUGAACUUAAGCAUAUCAAUAAGCGGAAGGAACUUAGAGGGGGAGAG